CAGAAAGAAAGCAGGUCAAACAUUUCAGAGCUGGCCGACUCUGUACCAGCUCCUGUAGCUAGCUGCACAGCAGUUUUCUCUUGUAGUUGGUUGAAGUAGAGCCGUCAUUAUCGAUGGACCUGAUGGUAAUUCAUUUCUCCUGUAUCGCUGUAUCGCUGACCCCAACUACCAAGGCUGCACAGACGGUCACAGGGCCAUCUUGUUUUUAAUAAAAAAUACUUGCUCGAUGAAACAAAGGUUCUGAGAUGGUUCUCGCAUGACCCGACUUUAUUCCAAACAAAUUAGAGGAUAAGAGAUAGAUCAUGAUAAAAGCUUUUAUUAACACGUAACUCGAGGAUUUAUAAGGGACUCUGAGGGGUUCGGAUAUCAACCUCUGACUGGAAGAGUUUUUUUAUUUCAGAUGUUCAGCAGUCGAAUCGAUUCCUCCAGCUGAUGGAGAACAUGUAGCUCUCAGGAAGUGAACCAUUAUCACCUGUUCUGGACCGGUCCGAUCGUUAAAUGCUUUCCGGUGUAAGAUCUACACAGAACUAGUGACGACACUGGGGAUGACUAUUCAGUCGGGAUGAAAAACUCUUUGGGCAAAUAGUAAAACAAAGAUUUCGUUGCGUCAACUCAUGGAAACCUCAGUUCAUCCAGCUCAGAGACCUCCCAGCCAGCAGGUGGCAACCAGGGGAGAGAGGUUCCCAGGAAAUACCCACAGGAAACUCGUGUGGGACCUCGAUCACGUGAGCACAGGAAGUGUAGAGCAUGCCUCGAAAUGUUUGAAAUGUUUGUGAGCACAGCUGACUCUCACUGGCACCCAAAGGAAGACCACAGCUCCUGAGCCACCAUAAGAUGCAACUGGAUCUCCUCCGAACACGUGGAUGUUCAUCUGGACCCACUUCAGGGCUUCGAUCUGGUCCAUGAAGCCGUAGUUCCCUGUGGAGGAGGAGGAUGAUCGAUUAGUAACGAGGACCUGCUCUGAUGUGGCCUUGUUUCCGGCGUCCCAUUUUCUCUGUCAGAACCUGAGACCGGCUCGCUGCAGCAUUCUGGCAGCCUGAACUAUAUUUAACUCUUUCCAGGCUGAGGCGGCGAGGAAAUGGGCCACAGGAUCAGAGGAUUCAAAAUUAGAAAUGUGAGCGCGGGGCGAUGAAAAGGACUCGUGCCAUCACGCCGUCACGGGAGGCUCUCUCAUUUAACGGGUCAUUUCACAUCCAGGUCACGGCAGGCGUGUUCGGGUUAUGUAACGGGAAUGACGCAGCUUGAUGCUAAUGUGUGUCCCACGGCUUGUGAAAAUACAAACAUCAACACGGAGGAGAAAUGAUCUGACACAUUAACACUCAUUAAGCAUUCACUCGUUAAUGUGAAGGUGGAGCGGACGAUGUAAACAGCAGGAAUAUUCCAGCGUCUGCUGAGUGAACAGUUUGAGAAGACGGCCGCUCUUAACGCAGCGUGGUCGAUGGGAGAUAUUAAAAACAACGAUAACGACUUCUUGAUGCCACUUUGUUUUUAACGCAGCGUGUAAACAGCUGUUCAUUCAAACUGUGGAGCCUUUCCUUUAAUUUGAUCUCUGCUGACCCUGAAAAUGAGUCUCGAGCUGUGGCCAAACUCAAUACAACACAUCAGCAGUACGAGUCCUAUUAGAACUGUUUACACAGCCAGAACAUUAGUGGACUUUUACUUUGUACAGACAGGAAAUGGCUGAACUAAAUGUUGGCCAGAGCACUGUUUCUCAA